rnacentral:rRNA from 1 species
CCUACGGGAGGCAGCAGUGAGGAAUAUUGGUCAAUGGGCGCGAGCCUGAACCAGCCAAGUCGCGUGAGGGAAGACGGUCCUAUGGAUUGUAAACCUCUUUUGUCGGGGAGCAAAAGACGCCACGCGUGGCGUUCCGAGAGUACCCGAAGAAAAAGCAUCGUCUAACUCCGUGCCAGCAGCCGCGGUAAUACGGAGGAUGCGAGCGUUAUCCGGAUUUAUUGGGUUUAAAGGGUGCGCAGGCGGAAGAGCAAGUCAGCGGUAAAAUUGAGAGGCUCAACCUCUUCGAGCCGUUGAAACUGGUGUUCUUGAGUGAGUGAGAAGUAUGCGGAAUGCGUGGUGUAGCGGUGAAAUGCAUAGAUAUCACGCAGAACUCCGAUUGCGAAGGCAGCAUACCGGCGCUCAACUGACGCUCAUGCACGAAAGUGUGGGUAUCGAACAGGAUUAGAUACCCCAGUAGUC